AUAGGGUGUGGAGAACAGGGCUUCCCGUCCGCUCAGCCGUACUUAAGCCACACGCCGGGAGGUUAGUAGUUGGGUGGGUGACCACCAGCGAAUCCCUCCUGUUGUAUGUA
rnacentral:rRNA from 1 species